CUUCAGGGAGGAGCUGAGCUGUUACUGAACUAUAGAAGAGACACAAACUUCCACAUUCAACACAGUUCAAACAUUAACUCUGAUCAUCAUGCUGUCUUUGCUCACAUCUGGAUUUACUCUGCUGGUUCUGCUUAUAGGAACAGGUGUAAACUGUCAACAACUCACUGCAGCAAAGACUGAGGAGUUCAUUUUAGAGGGCGGCUCUGUUACUCUGUCCUGCAGUUACAAGAAAGAAUCAGCUUUUAAUUUGUUCUGGUAUCGACAAUAUCCUGGAAAACCUCCAGAGUUCCUGAAGUCCCACUCACCUUCAGGUGAAGUACAACAUCUGGACAGAAUGAAAUUUGAAGGAACCAAAGAAGAAAUGAAGAUGACCAUCUCCUCUGCUGCAAUGGCAGACUCUGCUGUUUACUACUGUGCUGUGAGGCCCACAGUGACAGGAAACACCAGAACUCUGUACAAGAACCUGCAAUACUCCACAACAUCCACUAGAGGGCCUCACACACUGUUAACCCACUGGAUGCUGAUUCAGUGGUCUGAUGACAAAGACAAAAGAGACAAGAAACAGUAA